rnacentral:rRNA from 1 species
UACGUAGGGUGCGAGCGUUAAUCGGAAUUACUGGGCGUAAAGUGUGCGCAGGCGGCCGCGCAAGUCGAGUGUGAAAGCCCCGAGCUUAACUUGGGAAUUGCGCUCGAAACUACGUGGCUGGAGUGUGGCAGAGGAAGGUGGAAUUCCAGGUGUAGCGGUGAAAUGCGUAGAGAUCUGGAGGAACACCGAUGGCGAAGGCAGCCUUCUGGGCCAACACUGACGCUGAGGAGCGAAAGCGUGGGGAGCGAACAGG